GGCCUACGGGGCGCAGCAGUGGGGGAUAUUGGACAAUGGGGGAAACCCUGAUCCAGCGACGCCGCGUGAGUGAAGAAGUAUUUCGGUAUGUAAAGCUCUGUCAGCAGGGAAGAAAGAAAUGACGGUACCUGACCAAGAAGCUCCGGCUAACUACGUGCCAGCAGCCGCGGUAAUACGUAGGGAGCAAGCGUUGUCCGGAAUUACUGGGCGUAAAGGGCGCGUAGGUGGGCGCUUAAGUCAGGUGUGAAAACUCCGGGCUCAACCUGGAGACUGCACUUGAAACUGGGUGUCUUGAGGGCAGGAGA
rnacentral:rRNA from 1 species